ensembl:ncRNA DL2.2 ncRNA
GGUUGAUGACCUACGGUAACACACAUUUCGAGCUGUGUCAAUAUGGGAAACAACGCGCUGCGGGACCGCAUGCGAGGCCGGCGGAGCGCAUUUACGACCCUCUUCCUCUCCCCCACUAUGUGUCACCACUGCCGUAUGGGAAUGGUUGCGUCUAUUUACACUCUCAUUUUUCGCCGUUGUCUCUCCCAAUUUUCGCGCUCUCCGUCAAGGCUCAUAAGUGUUUUACAUAUUGAUUUUGACUUGUGAUCUGAACUGU